rnacentral:rRNA from 1 species
GCGUACCAGGCGAGAAACCUUCGCAAUGCGGGAAACCGCGACGAGGGGACUCCCAGUGCCUACGCUCAGCGUAGGCUGUUCCCGAGCCUAGAAAGCUCGGGGAGUAAGGGCUGGGUAAGACGGGUGCCAGCCGCCGCGGUAAUACCCGCAGCCCGAGUGGUGGCCACUAUUAUUGGGCCUAAAGCGUCCGUAGCCGGCCCGGUAAAUGCCUGGGUAAAUCGUGAGGCCUAACCUCACGAAUUCCGGGUAGACUGCCGGGCUAGGGACCGGAGGAGGGAGAGGGUACUCCAGGGGUAGGGGUGAAAUCCUGUAAUCCCUGGAGGACCACCGGUGGCGAAGGCGCUCUCCUAGGACGGGUCCGACGGUGAGGGACGAAAGCCAGGGGAGCGAACCGGAUUAGAUACCCGU